GACGCUAGGGGCGGACUGGAAGGCUGAGUGGGGAAGAAGGAAGACACUUCCUGUUUGCUUCCUGUUCUGUUUAACGACACCCUAACGAUUACUUUUCAUUUCAGCAGUUAUAGUUUGUUUCAGUAGCAACAGUUAUUUCCAGUUUUAGUUUUGACAGCAUUCCUAGAACUAGCUCCUUAGGGUUUUUUAAAGACACCAACGCCAACCAGCAAGCGCCCCCUACUGAGCGGUCUAGGUCCCAGCUCUGAGAAGCCACUCAAGUUUCUAACUGAGCCCCAGAAAACCUUUCAGCAAACAAACAUGAUGGUUUCAUAUACCAGUUGGCAUGAAGAUAAAGUGUUGGUGCUGCAUUUUAAAGGGGAAGUUUGAGAAAUAUGAGGAACGAAGUCAUGAGUAGAAGCCAGGGAGGCAUGAAAGAAAAAGUCUUGUGGCACCCACACCGAGAAGAUGCUAAGCAGAGAUGUGAGGAAACAAAGCUGAGAAUUGAGGGACAAUCCAAGGGAAAGAAGUGGACUGGGAAAUCGGUUCUCCUGGCCUGGAAAAGACACGUCACCACAGGAAAAAAUCUGGCUCCAGAGAACAAUUUAUUUUAAUAUGCCUCAUUUUGCUAUUUCAUUAAUUCAGAAAUACUUGGCCUUUUUUUCUACUGUUACUGUGGAGGCAUAAUAGGAAAUGUAAACAUACUGGUACAAAAUAAGAAAUAACUUAUUUAUAUGGCAGGAAGACUAGAAAAAUCACAGCCAUUUUCUUCUUCUUACUAUAAGCUCUAAUUUUCCAUGAUACUGCUCUACAUACAGGAUCUUUAUUUAAAAAAACCUGAAGUGAUGAUAUUACAUUGCCACAUCAACAUUUGAAAUUAAAUGAUCAAUGGGUGAUAUAAAAAUGGCCAGCACAUGGUACAUUUUGUAAUACUUUAAGUCACAUUGUUGAGAUCCUUGAUAAAGAUAUGAUUUGCUUUUAAUCUGGCACCAUCAUUUAUUUUGGGCAAAGCUAGAAAACAAAUAACAUAAUUUGCAUAAUGAAACCAUUGAGAGAAAAAUCACUGUAAUUUGUCAGAGGUAUCUGCACCAUUUUGACUUACAGUUUAAAUUCAUUCAAGUUUAUUUCUUUCCUUACCCCAACUAAACAAUGCUUUUGAUUUAUUCUUGCCAUUUAGUGUCAUAUAAAAUAAAGUGUUCCACUAGGAGGAGAAAUAAUUUGUCAAGUAGAAACUAUAUUAAAUGAAACAUUCUCUCUGAUAUGUUUUUAAUUUGUUUUAUUCCCAUUUUGCUAUUGCAAUUUUCCCACCUGCCAAUGGAGAUAAGGGGCUGUUUCAUUCUUUCUCUUUUGGCUCGCGAAGGCCACACGCUUGUUUUGUUAAGGAGAGUCCACCUAUCACCAGGAGGGACAGAAGUCAGCUCAGGAAGGGAGACCCUGCCAGGGGACUCAGCCAUGAGACUUUGCAAUUAUAAGCUAUUCCUUAAGCCACAGAAAGAAAUGAAGAAAGGAAGAGGGGAAGACAGAAAGAAAACAAUUAUCACUUGGUUUAGUGACCACGUGUGUUGAGGACAGGAAUAGAAAAAAGAAGGUACAUGUCUAAGAAGGAUUUAAAAAUGUCAAGGAAAGAACAAUGAGAUGAGAAAGAUUAAAGUCAGAGGGAGAAGCCAUGACCUUGAGCAAGGAUGCGCUUUUCAGCCAGGACACUUAACAAAGAGGGCUGACAGCUGUCAGCACUUCCAGAAGCUGGUAAAAUAAGACCUUCAUUCUUAAAGGGACAUCUUGGCAGAAUACCAAUGACUAUUCUAGUCCACUGCUUAUACCACUCAGAUACACAUCUUCAUAUACAUACUGAAAAUCAAUCUUCUAGGAUCUUAGUAGGUUUCUUUUGCUGGCAGAAUGUUGUAAGAUUAAGGUUGAUAGGAUAAACUGGUACCCUUGCAGAAACAGCUAGUUGCAAGAUCUCAAAUGAUAUUUAUCAUCUCUCUUCUUCACUAUCCACUUUAGAUUUUCCUCAUCAUCUGCUGGUCUUGGUGGCUUCCCAGUGGCAUGGUGGUGACCAUCCUGAGCUCCUGGCCACCCUGUCCUCUUCAAGCCAUAGCUGCACUUGUCCAUUUAUCAUCAAACGAUGAAAAGUCCAAUCACCAAGGGACUGUUUGGUCUCCUGUAGAGAUGGUGCCAUUCCAGAGAAUUUGUAUUGGUCUCCGUCUCUAGCAGAUUGCAUAUUUGAUUGGACCAGUCACUUAUCAGCCUCAUUUUACAGGAAGAAAAACAUUGAAUGAGAAAAGAUGGCUUAAAUUAUAUGUGGCAG
rnacentral:lncRNA from 1 species